rnacentral:lncRNA from 1 species
AUGAACGUAAUGUUUUACGUUUGUAUUUAUGUUCGUACGUUCGGGCUGCUGACAGUUACUGGUGGGCUCUCCGGUGUGAGCGAUAGCAGUCACGGCGUCGACAUCAUCAGUAAUAUCAGCGGGGGUGGGGGUAGCAAGGGGCUUCACCCCAAAGUACCCCCGCUAGACUUGUCCCCGUUUCAGCUGAUUCUCCUUUACCCUCUCUCAAUAUUCCUCUUCACCCCAUCCGAUGCUUUCCAAUACUCGGAUAACGAAGAAAAUGUCAGUCUCAUUGUUCAGCUGGGUGCGACUCAUGUUGGGUAGGUUAUUUGUAAGCUCCUCAUUGACUGUGUAGCAAUUAUAAUUAAAAAAAUUGAAUCCUUUCGUAUCUGAACAGUGAUGAAAUUAAUAUUGUUUCCUGAGUCUCAUUUCCAUAAUUUUAUGGACAAGUGGCCUUAAAUGAAACUCCAGCAAGAUUAGGUCUUUCAUGAGUGAUUGCAGCAAAAAAGUAAAUCAGCAUUCCUCGAUUCAGUAAUAUUCUUUGACCCUCAAGUGUAUUACCGUCACCAACAGGUAUUUCCCAAUGCCAAUAAAGUCACUUACACAGUUUUGCCUCCUUUGUGACAAUAUAUACCGUCAUCCUCUACAUUGUGAAGCAUUGGAUGUAUCUCACAAAGCAAGUUGGAAAAAUUAGAAACUUCCAAGUAUCUUUUAAACUAAGAAAAAGAGAGAAAAAAGUGGUCAGUAAUUAAAUAAUGUGAUGGUACACUGCAAGUCUGUAAGUGUUGACCUGGCGAUGCCUAGUAGGGAAUUUCACCCCAGUCCCGUAAUAGUCCUGAGGUGGAUUUUUCCUAUCAUAUCAUGUUAAGAUUUUCCGAGAGGAUCUCAACAGUGCAAUGAUAAGUAUUUAGUCCUCUGAAAACUAUGGAAUUUGUUUUCAGAACUCGGCAACUUGCUUGAUUGAGCAUCUUAGAGCUUGCAACUUUGACCGAGCCCAAUAACGUCAUGGCCAAGACGGAGUGACGUACUUAAUUGAAAUUUUUAUUAAACUUAAUCGAUGUGUUUUGGACAUUUUUCAAGUACAACAGGUAAAGGAGCUUUAAGUCCAAUAACUUACUAAUUUUCAUUUCUCAAAGAAAUUAAGUUAUACCUCCGGUUUGGUUCUGUUUACCCUUUUUUUAUUUCUGAGAGGAAAGCCUCUCCACAUUUCUUAAUAAGUGCCUUUGAAACGAAGACAAGGGUUUCUAACUGUGUGGAAAAUCUGGAAUUUUUAGGAGGAAAGAAAGAAAGGAACUCAAAAACCUAAAAAAAGUCAUUCUUCUACAGACUUAAAAUUGGCAAAAAAAACUCAGACCUGAAGUUUUAUGCAUUUGAAUUUCUCGCUAUGGAGGGUGGAAUUACGAACUUAAAAGUAGUCGGAUUGGCUAGUUUUGCAAUCCACUGCAAACGCUCCUUGAGUAAUUCCUUGUUUUCCUAUUGUUCCUCUGAAAAAUUGCUGGCAACAUUUGGCGGAGCUGGUUUGCUACUGUCUUUUGCAUGGGGUAAAUUGAAGUUUAAUGGUAAUGCGCCCAUAGUUGGCGGCAUCACGUCACAAUCACGUUGUUUUCAAAACAAUCGUACAAACUCAACCAGUGGAUCAUAGUGAUAGAAAAAGAGCAGUAGAUUGGAUUCUGUUUAGUCAAGGGGAUGAACUUCAGACCCCUGAUUACUUCGUGAGCAGGUUUAACCAGUGGUGAUGAAAUCAGCCCUAGCUGGUUUUGAUUAAUCUAUUUACCAGUUUCAUUUAAGAUCAAACUUUAUUUUCUUUUUAGCACUCUCAUUGAAACUGUACAGUAGAGGAUUUUCAUUUUUGCACCAACAGAUCAAAUUUUUUCCCAUAUGAUAAUCAUUAUAUUAUAGGAUCAAAUUUCAUUAAAAACAAUUAUAAUUUUUAAGCAAAAUUUGUUUUGUGUGUUUCAGAUGCCUCAUGAAUCUGUUGCUGUUUCAACAAUUGAUAGCUGUCAACAGAACGUUGUCAGUCUCACUGGCGCCGAGAGUCAGCCUCUACUUUCCGGAGACAAAAAGCACUCGCGGAGCGCAAUAGUCAAGGAAGAAGUCGUAGCAAGUAGCACUGCGGUCACCUCCUCUGUUCUCAACAUCUCAUUGAAGUUGAUCACUUCAAGCCUCUGAAUGAAAUCAGCAAUGUAGCUCCACAAACUUCUGCUAAUCUGAAGUUUAAAGUUUCUCAAGAUUUGAAGGGAAAUAAUUCCUUUCCCAACUCAGCGGCUGCUUCUGCAAAAC